UACGUAGGGUCCGAGCGUUGUCCGGAAUUAUUGGGCGUAAAGAGCUCGUAGGCGGCUUGUCGCGUCGACUGUGAAAACCCGCGGCUCAACCGUGUGGUCUGCAGUCGAUACGGGCAGACUUGAGUUCGGUAGGGGAGACUGGAAUUCCUGGUGUAGCGGUGAAAUGCGUAGAUAUCGGGAGGAACACCAGUGGCGAAGGCGACUUCCUGGCCUGUUCUUGACGCUGAGGCGCGAAAGCUAGGGGAGCAAACGGG
rnacentral:rRNA from 1 species